CUCGGGCCGAGCGCCGCUGGGGCAGCACUUGCCAGAAGGCAUAUUGAAAAAGUGAAUGGAAUGCUUAGGCGUCUGGACUCCACGAUGCAGGUGCAGGCCUGGCUGCUGUGACCAAGUAGGCUGGAGAGCCAAAUGUGCUGAUGGCGCUGUUGUGCCCAGGAGCUGGGCCUCCUCCCAGGGCCCUGUCACCUGGAAGGGAAGGGAGGGGUGGAGGUGGAGGCAGCACCUGUAUAGUCAUGUAUGUUUCCCUCCCUAGGGCAGUCACUCCUAGCACAGGCUUGAUGCAGCACACCCCACUGGACACAGGCCCCCGUGUUACGGCCACCGGAACAGCCUGUGAUACACUGCACGUUUGUGAUCAGCUCCAUCCUUUCCUCAGAGUGUCCCAAGUUCCUGUGACUCAGGCCACGGCCCCCCCCCAGCAAAUCUUGUAAUCUUGAAUCCAGAAUCCAAGGGGCUUGUGCACUCUUUGAUUGUUAUCCACGAGAAAGAGAACUGUAUUGAAGGGUUCAUCUCCUAGAGCAUCUAGCUUCACCUUUAUCAUUCACUUCGCUCUCCAAAUAAAAAGUAGGAAGGGGAUUUUCCAAAGAGAGGGGCACAACCCCAUUCCCACCGAGAGAAGUCGCACACUGUGGGGCCUGAGAGAUGGCACACGAGUGCGGAUGGUACUGAUUUGGCUUAGGCGGUGUGUGGGAAUUAGCAUGGCAGGAAAGAUGCAGGGCACCAGGGUCUCAGGUCUGUGGGAUGGCAGAUCCAUGUGGACUGCUAGGAAAGCCCUCUUCUCAAAUAGACCUUGGUGCUAAAUGCAGAAAAGGGCCUAAGUAUGGUCCAGUUCCUGAUGAUCCCACUCAGGGUGGCCCAAAGGUAGAGAUGAAGUCCUUUAUUGUGCUGAAGGAGAAAGAAAACUCAUCCUGUUCCCUUUUCCUGGAAGGUCUAUGUUCUAAGCAAUGUCCAAAGGAGUCAGUGGCUCGCCUUUCCCGGACAGGAGACAGAACAGACAGAACGCGGCUGGUGUGCUGCAACUUGGAAGGAGGAAGAGCCAAUUCCUGGCCUCUGGGGGGAGCCUCAUGAAGCAACUCACCAACAGCAUCUGACUUCGCCCUCAUGCCAGCCUGGCAGAUGGGCAGAUGUGGCCCACGGUCCCAUUUGUGGGUGAUACUUUCAAACGCUUCUUGCAUGAAUUGUUUUCUUCAUCAUGUCCAGAUCAAUGGGACCAUGUUCAAGUGUCCAGGUCAGGUAGGACUCUGGGGACUUCCACACAGCCAGGUACACAGGGCAGAGGGCAGCCCCAGGAAGUCCGGGCUGGAGGCUGUUUCAGCCACUUUUCAUGCGAGGGUCACAGAGUGAGUCUAUGUUCCAUCUUGUCCUGCUGUUCUUGUUACAGAAAUGGGCUUCCUAUCUCCAUCACCUUGAUUUGCCAGCCAGUGUCAGGGUUUGGGUCUGGAUGUUCCCCCAAAGCCUCAUUUGGUCAGAGGUGGCUGAACCUGAAAUGUGUGACGCUGGAGUGAAGGGCCUGUGAUUUCUAAACCACUACACAUGAGUGAUUGGUUUGACACCACCCUAGCCCUGGUAGUCUGAAUGGGAUAAAAGGGGCAGAAAGACUCUGUUAAGGUCCCUUGUUGCUUUUGUUACCUUCUGGUCACCAUGAACUGCUUCCCUUGUUGCUUUUGCUACUUUGUGUGCACCAUGUUGUCCCUGUCUUGGGGCCAACCAACUAUGAACUGAACCUUCUAUAAACUGUAAGCCAAAUAAACCCCUUCCCCUUUAACUUUUGGUGCUAGGUAUUUCGUCUCAGCAACGAGAGAAAAGUAACGAACACAACCAGA
ensembl:lncRNA